GAAAAGAAACCACUUAAUUCCCAGUAGGGAAACGGGGGAACCAAUCGAAGCCGUUCAAGCAAUACUUGGCUUCAUGGGGUGAAUCCUGAUGCUCGCAAGCAUUAGGUAGGACGCUCUCAAGUCCGAAUCCGACAGCUAACCUCGUAGGUGUAUUGAGAGAGAACCG
rnacentral:sRNA from 2 species